GGGGGCAGUUUACUGCUCUCGCUAUUAGAUGAGCCCUAAGUCGGGAUUAGCUUAGAUGGUGGGGUAAAGGCCUAACCAUGGCGAACGAUCUGUAGCUGGUCUGAGAGGAUGAUCAGCCACACCGGGACUGAGACACGGCCCGGACUCCUACGGGAGGCAGCAGUGGGGAAUAUUGGACAAUGGGGGGAACCCUGAUCCAGCCAUGCCGCGUGUGUGAAGAAGGCCUUUUGGUUGUAAAGCACUUUAAGCAGUGAAGAAGACCUAACGGUUAAUACCCGUUAGCGAUGACAUUAGCUGCAGAAUAAGCACCGGCUAACUCUGUGCCAGCAGCCGCGGUAAUACAGAGGGUGCAAGCGUUAAUCGGAAUUACUGGGCGUAAAGCGAGCGUAGGUGGCUUGAUAAGUCAGAUGUGAAAUCCCCGGGCUUAACCUGGGAACUGCAUCUGAUACUGUUAAGCUAGAGUAGGUGAGAGGGAAGUAGAAUUCCAGGUGUAGCGGUGAAAUGCGUAGAGAUCUGGAGGAAUACCGAUGGCGAAGGCAGCUUCCUGGCAUCAUACUGACACUGAGGCUCGAAAGCGUGGGUAGCAAACAGGAUUAGAUACCCUGGUAGUCCACGCCGUAAACGAUGUCUCCUAGUCGUUGGGUCCCUUGAGGACUUAGUGACGCAGCUAACGCAAUAAGUAGACCGCCU
rnacentral:rRNA from 1 species